UGGGGAAUUUUGCACAAUGGGGGAAACCCUGAUGCAGCGACGCCGCGUGAUUUAGAAGGCCUUUGGGUUGUAAAAAUCUUUUUUACGGGAUGAAAAUGACAGUACCGUAAGAAUAAGGUCCGGCUAAAUACGUGCCAGCAGCCGCGGUAAUACGUAUGGACCGAGCGUUGUCCGGAAUCAUUGGGCGUAAAGGGUACGUAGGCGGCCUAGUAAGUUAGAAGUGAAAUAAUAUAGCUCAACUAUAUAAAGCUUUUAAAACUGCUAGGCUUGAAAGAUGGAAGGGAAAGUGGAAUUCCUAGUGUAGCGGUGAAAUGCGCAGAUAUUAGGAAGAAUACCGGUGGCGAAAGCGACUUUCUGGUCAUCAUCUGACGCUGAGGUACGAAAGCGUGGGUAGCAAACAGG
rnacentral:rRNA from 1 species